rnacentral:rRNA from 1 species
UACGUAGGGGGCGAGCGUUAUCCGGAUUUACUGGGUGUAAAGGGAGCGUAGACGGCUGGUCAAGUCUGAAGUGAAAGCCCGGGGCUUAACCCCGGAACGGCUUUGGAAACUGAGCAGCUAGAGUGCAGGAGAGGAAAGCGGAAUUCCUAGUGUAGCGGUGAAAUGCUUAGAUAUUAGGAGGAACACCAGUGGCGAAGGCGGCUUUCUGGACUGUAACUGACACUGAGGUACGAAAGCGUGGGGAGCAAACAGG